rnacentral:rRNA from 1 species
AUGUGUGUUGGUUUAAAGGUAACGCCUUUGGAUGGGUCUGCGGCGGAUUAGGUAGACGCCGGUGUAACGUACCGGCGUGCCUGUAAUCCGUACGGGUUGUGGGAGCAAGAGCCCGGAGAUGGAUUCUGAGACACGAAUCCAGGCCCUACGGGGCGCAGCAGGCGCGAAAACUCUACAAUGCAGGCAACUGCGAUAGGGGGACAUCGAGUGGCACCCACCUUGGGUGUCUGUCCAACCGUCUAAAAAACGGUUGUUAGCAAGGGCCGGGUAAGACCGGUGCCAGCCGCCGCGGUAAUACCGGCGGCUCGAGUGGUGGCCGAUAUUAUUGAGUCUAAAGGGUCCGUAGCCGGCUUUGCAAGUCCUCUGGGAAAUCCAGCGGCUUAACCGUUGGGCUUCCAUGGGAAACUACAUUGCUUGGGACUGGGAGAGGUAGGAGGUACUCGAGGGGUAGGGGUGAAAUCCUGUAAUCCUUCGGGGACCACCGGUGGCGAAGGCGUCCUACCAGAACAGGUCCGACGGUGAGGGACGAAAGCUAGGGGCACGAACCGGAUUAGAUACCCGGGUAGUCCUAGCCGUAAACGAUGCCCGCUAGGUGUCACGGCGGUCGUGAAUCGCCGUGGUGCCGUAGGGAAGCCGCGA